CUACGGGACGCUGCAGUGAGGAAUAUUGCACAAUGGGGGGAACCCUGAUGCAGCAACGCCGCGUGGAGGAUGACGCAUUUCGGUGUGUAAACUCCUUUUAUAUGUCAAGAAAAUGACGGUAGCAUAUGAAUAAGCACCGGCUAACUCCGUGCCAGCAGCCGCGGUAAUACGGGAGGGUGCAAGCGUUACUCGGAAUCACUGGGCGUAAAGGACGCGUAGGCGGGUUGGAAAGUCAGGUGUGAAAUCCUACAGCUUAACUGUAGAACUGCACUUGAAACUUCUAAUCUAGAGUAUGGGAAGGGGAGAUGGAAUUAGUGGUGUAGGGGUAAAAUCCGUAGAUAUCACUAGGAAUACCUAAAGCGAAGGCGAUCUCCUGGAACAUUACUGACGCUAAGGCGUGAAAGCGUGGGGAGCAAACAGGAUUAGAUACCCCCGUAGUC
rnacentral:rRNA from 1 species